rnacentral:rRNA from 1 species
CCUACGGGAGGCAGCAGUGGGGGAUAUUGCACAAUGGGGGGAACCCUGAUGCAGCGACGCCGCGUGGGUGAAGGAGUGCUUCGGCAUGUAAAGCCCUAUCGGCAGGGAAGAAGCAAGACGGUACCUGACUAAGAAGCCCCGGCUAACUACGUGCCAGCAGCCGCGGUAAUACGUAGGGGGCGAGCGUUCGCCGGAUUCACUGGGGGUAAAGGGAGCGUAGACGGCCAUGCAAGCCAGGGGUGAAAGCCCGGGGCCCAACCCCGGGACUUCCCUUUGGACUGCAAGGGUGGAGGGCGGGGAGGGGCGGGGGGAAUUCCGGUGUAGCGGGGAAAUGCGUAGAUAUCAGGAGGAACACCGGCGGCGAAGGCGGCCUGCUGGACCGCGACUGACGUUGAGGCUCGAAAGCGUGGGGAGCGAACAGGAUUAGAUACCCGGGUAGUC